UGGUGGGUAGUUUGACUGGGGCGGUCUCCUCCUAAAGAGUAACGGAGGAGCACGAAGGUUGGCUAAUCCUGGUCGGACAUCAGGAGGUUAGUGCAAUGGCAUAAGCCAGCUUGACUGCGAGCGUGACGGCGCGAGCAGGUGCGAAAGCAGGUCAUAGUGAUCCGGUGGUUCUGAAUGGAAGGGCCAUCGCUCAACGGAUAAAAGGUACUCCGGGGAUAACAGGCUGAUACCGCCCAAGAGUUCAUAUCGACGGCGGUGUUUGGCACCUCGAUGUCGGCUCAUCACAUCCUGGGGCUGAAGUAGGUCCCAAGGGUAUGGCUGUUCGCCAUUUAAAGUGGUACGCGAGCUGGGUUUAGAACGUCGUGAGACAGUUCGGUCCCUAUCUGCCGUGGGCGCUGGAGAACUGAGGGGGGCUGCUCCUAGUACGAGAGGACCGGAGUGGACGCAUCACUGGUGUUCGGGUUGUCAUGCCAAUGGCACUGCCCGGUAGCUAAAUGCGGAAGAGAUAAGUGCUGAAAGCAUCUAAGCACGAAACUUGCCCCGAGAUGAGUUCUCCCUGAGACUUAGAGUCUCCUGAAGGAACGUUGAAGACGACGACGUUGAUAGGCCGGGUGUGUAAGCGCAGCGAUGCGUUGAGCUAACCGGUACUAAUGAACCGUGAGGCUUAACCUUACAACG
rnacentral:rRNA from 1 species